rnacentral:rRNA from 1 species
AUAAUAAUUAGUUUUUUAAUUGGAAACUAGAAUGAAUGAUUGGAUAAGGCAUAAGCUUUUUUUUUUAAAAUUUUAUAAAAUUUAAAUUUUUAGUUAAAAAGCUAAAAUUUAUUAAAAAGACGAGAAGACCCUAUAGAUUUUUAUUUAAUUAAAAUUAUUUAUUUAAUUUUAAUUAAAUUUUGUUGGGGGGAUAAAAAAAUUUAAAAAACUUUUUAAUUUAUUAACAUUAAUGUAUGAAAUAUUUAAAAAUAUAAACUAUUUGAAUUAUUAUAAAUAAAGAUUAAAAUACCUUAGGGAUAACAGCGUAAUUUUAAUUUUAAGAUCUUAUUUAAAUUAAAGAUUGC